AGCAGCCGCGGUAAUUCCAGCUCCAAUAGCGUAUAUUAAAGUUGUUGCAGUUAAAAAGCUCGUAGUUGAAUUUCGGGGUCAGUAGUUUGGUCGUGCCACUGGUAUGUACUGGGCUCACUGAUUCCUCCUUCCUGAUGAACUGUAAUGCCAUUAAUUUGGUGUUGCAGGGAAACUGGACUGUUACUUUGAAAAAAUUAGAGUGUUUAAAGCAAGCUAACGCUUGAAUACAUUAGCAUGGAAUAAUGAAAUAGGACGUUCGAUCCUAUUUUGUUGGUUUCUAGGAUUGACGUAAUGAUUAAUAGGGAUAGUUGGGGGCAUUAGUAUUCAAUUGUCAGAGGUGAAAUUCUUGGAUUUAUUGAAGACUAACUACUGCGAAAGCAUUUGCCAAGGAUGUUUUCAUUAAUCAAGAACGAAAGUUAGGGGGAUCGAAGACGAUCAGAUACCGUCGUAGUCUUAACCAUAAACUAUGCCGACUAGGGGAUCGGAUGAUGUUAAUUUUUUUAAUGACUCAUUCGGCGUA
rnacentral:rRNA from 1 species